UACGUAGGGGGCAAGCGUUGUCCGGAUUUAUUGGGCGUAAAGAGCGUGUAGGCGGCCAUACAGGUCAGCUGUGAAAACUCGAGGCUCAACCUCGAGACGUCGGUUGAAACCGUAUGGCUAGAGUCCGGAAGAGGAGAGUGGAAUUCCCGGUGUAGCGGUGAAAUGCGCAGAUAUCGGGAAGAACACCCGUGGCGAAGGCGGCUCGCUGGACCGCAACUGACGCUGAGGAACGAAAGCUAGGGGAGCAAACAGG
rnacentral:rRNA from 1 species